rnacentral:rRNA from 1 species
AUUGAACGCUGGCGGCAUGCUUUACACAUGCAAGUCGAACGGUAACAGGCCGCAAGGUGCUGACGAGUGGCGAACGGGUGAGUAAUGCAUCGGAACGUGCCCAGUCGUGGGGGAUAACGCAGCGAAAGCUGCGCUAAUACCGCAUACGAUCUAUGGAUGAAAGCGGGGGACCGUAAGGCCUCGCGCGAUUGGAGCGGCCGAUGUCAGAUUAGGUAGUUGGUGGGGUAAAGGCUCACCAAGCCAACGAUCUGUAGCUGGUCUGAGAGGACGACCAGCCACACUGGGACUGAGACACGGCCCAGACUCCUACGGGAGGCAGCAGUGGGGAAUUUUGGACAAUGGGCGCAAGCCUGAUCCAGCAAUGCCGCGUGCAGGAAGAAGGCCUUCGGGUUGUAAACUGCUUUUGUACGGAACGAAACGGUCCUGGUUAAUACCUGGGGCUAAUGACGGUACCGUAAGAAUAAGCACCGGCUAACUACGUGCCAGCCGCCGCAGUAAUAC